CCUACGGGAGGCAGCAGUGGGGAAUUUUGGACAAUGGGCGCAAGCCUGAUCCAGCAAUGCCGCGUGCAGGAUGAAGGCCUUCGGGUUGUAAACUGCUUUUGUACGGAACGAAACGGUCCCUUCUAAUACGAGGGGCUAAUGACGGUACCGUAAGAAUAAGCACCGGCUAACUACGUGCCAGCAGCCGCGGUAAUACGUAGGGUGCGAGCGUUAAUCGGAAUUACUGGGCGUAAAGCGUGCGCAGGCGGUUAUAUAAGACAGUUGUGAAAUCCCCGGGCUCAACCUGGGACCUGCAUUUGUGACUGUAUAGCUAAAGUACGGUAGAGGGGGAUGGAAUUCCGCGUGUAGCAGUGAAAUGCGUAGAUAUGCGGAGGAACACCGAUGGCGAAGGCAAUCCCCUGGACCUGUACUGACGCUCAUGCACGAAAGCGUGGGGAGCAAACAGGAUUAGAUACCCGAGUAGUC
rnacentral:rRNA from 1 species